GACGAACGCUGGCGGCGUGCCUAAUACAUGCAAGUAGAACGCAGUUGCGAACGGGUGAGUAACGCGUAGGUAACUGCCUCAUAGCGGGGGAUAACUAUUGGAAACGAUAGCUAAUACCGCAAUCUGUGAGCUGGACCUGAGUUGUAUUAGCUAGUUGGUGAGGUCAAGGCUCACCAAGGCGACGAUACCUACCCGGCCUGAGAGGGUUGACCGCCAAAAUGGGACCUGGGAACCGGUCCGAACCCUACGGGAGGCAAGAGGAGGGAAUCUUCGGCAAUGGGCGGAAGUCUGAACGAGGAACGCCGCGUGAGUGAAGAAGGUUUUCCGGUCGUAAAGCUAUUUUGUUAGAGAAGCGGUACCUAAACAGAAAGGGACGGCUAACUACGUGCCAGCAGCCGCGGUAAUUC
rnacentral:rRNA from 1 species